GGACGCUUCCGCUGGCUCGGCCCACAGGGUGCGCACAGCGUGCCGCCCGUUACUGGACUACGUCUCAGGCUCCGCCCCCGGGGCGGCCGCUUCCCUGGUCUCCAGGCAACAGGAGUGGCGCUGUCCAUUGUGCUGAACCAGCGCCUCCUCAAGGGAAGGCCUCAUGGCGCCCCCAGCCCUCCCUGCUGAGCGGCACCAGAGCCCCGAAACAGACGCCACUGAACCUCGGCUGCACUCCACCGCCAGCCCCCACUUGACCUCUUGGUGAUAGAAAGAGCUCGCUUCACUCCACGCUCCCCUAAGAGGCCUCCGCCCUUCCAUCUAGCUGAGGCGAAAGCCAAAGGCCUCCGAAACCAGAGCCCCUGCAGGACCCUCCACCCUCAUCUGCCUCUCCCCGCCUCCCUCGCUCCAGCCACCCUGACCUCCCGGCCGCACCGCAAACCGUCCAAGCGGAUUCCCACCUCGGGGCCUUUGCUCUCCUCCUCCCACUGCCUGAAAUGCUCUCUCAGAUCUCAUCGUGGCUGCUUAAAACAGUCACCUCCCAACUCCUCCUCUCCUCCCCCGCCCUCUUUAUUCCCCAGCACUCAUCACCACCUGACACAAGUUUUCCCAGUUUUUCUUGUUGACCCCUCCAGAGCAUGGAUUUCUGUCUGCUUGUUCACCGCUGUGUUGCCAGCAGUGAGGACAGACCCUGACACAGAGCGGGCACUCCGUAAUGUUUAUUGCAUGUGUAUGUGUGUGUGUAUUUGGGCACUUACUGUGUGCCAGGCCCAGUGUCCCUUCAUAAUGACCCUCUGCCCCAAUUUAAAGAUGAAGAAACUGAGACUCAGAAUGGCCCUCAUCUGACCAAGGUCACCUGCCUUCUGAGUGGCAGAGCCUGAAUCCCUGUCCCAGGUUCCUCUGGCUAUAACCUUUUCACCCCUGCUCUGUGCUGUAAUCCCUAAUACUGCCUUCUCCUUCGGGAAAGAAAGUGUAUAGGAGGCUGGCUUCACAGCACUUGGACAGCACUAGGUUUCAGUUCCUGUUCCCUUGACUACUAGCCAUGUGACCAUGAGCAGGUCAGUAAAUAUCUCUGCCUUAGUUUCUUCAUCCACAAAGUGGGGAUACCAAUCGUACCCGCCUCUUUGUACUGUGCGAGUCAAAUGAGGCAAUGACAGUGGAGGGCUGACCAGACAGACACCUGGCACACACUGGCACCUGAAAAAUUUUUUAAAUCAGGAGAACGAGGCCAGAAAAGCUAUAGGAACACAAUGUUGCAAGAAGGUGGGAGUGAAGAAUAGAUGCCAGACCUCACUGGGAACAAGAGAAAUGCACAUUAAAACUGGCACGGAGUUCCUGCAGUUCUCCUGUCAGGUGGGCAGGCGACAUUGCGUUGGAGAGGCUGUGGGGAAACAGCCUUAUUCAUAGAAGCAAAAGAUUACACACAACUCAAGCGGAAUCAAGAGGAGACCUUGUAAGCAAAUGAUGCUCCACUUAUACUUUGGGAAACGAGGCAACCGUUAAAAAGAACAAGGACACUUCGUACUGACAUGAGAUGGUCUCUGAAGUACGCCGCCUCAAUGAGGACUCUUCACCAUCCUGAGAAGUUGGCAUCAUCAGCCCAAGGAUCACAGAAGGUCAGACUCUUGCUCACAUCAGCCCAGUUGAGGCCAGUGGUCCUGAAAGGAAGGAUUCUUGGGCAAUAUCGCCCUCUGCUGGCCAGGACAGAUAUCAGCUCCAUUUCCAAUAUUAACGAUUAUUAUUGUAUGUUACAUACUAUUAUAAUAUAUAAUAUUUUAUAUUAUUAUUCCGUGGAACACAACUAGCGCUCAAUAAAUCCGUGUGUCAGCCUCUCUCAUCCCGGUGCGCCAUGGAGGCCGGCACUAAUGGGGAUGUACAUGUAGGUGUACGUUGAAUGAAUGAACGAAGAAAUGUGGCCAGGUUCUGGGCCUCAGUCUCCCCUUCUGUCAAUCUGGGAUUCCUUCUUUCAUGAAAUAAACUAAUGUUUAUUUAGCAGGUACUUGGUCCUAGGUCCUGUUCUAAGCUCUUGGGACAAAGCAAUGAACAAGCCAAACGGCUGUGCCAGGCGCCGAGGGAAGAUCUCUGCGUCAGUCUUUCUCAUUCAAUCUUCAUAACAUCCUUGUGCCCAAAUACUAUUAUUCGCCCCAUUUUAUGGACGAGCAAAUGAUGGCUUCGAGAGG
rnacentral:lncRNA from 1 species